rnacentral:lncRNA from 1 species
CUGUUCUACUCGAAGAAUAGCGGUUGUAAGAGGUCGAUCCACAGGGAGGCGAUUGGAGUUGCAUAAAAAUUAAAAUGUUCACUCGGAUUUGAAAUCGAUUUUUUUUUAAUGAUAAAAGAAAAACAUUACGUGGGGGAUGUGGAAUGAUUUUUAACUUGAAAUUAACGGAAAGACAGUUACUUAAAUUCGAAAAGCAUUUAUAUAUUUAAUGGAAAAGAAAAGCCUUGGCAUAAAUUAAAAUAAAUGAAAAACAGUGCUAAGAAGAUCAAAAGCCUAGAACAUAAAUUGCAUAAAAAAAAAUUUAAUGUAUUGCAUCAAAAAAGAAUUAAAAGAUUGCAUAAAAAAAAGCGGAAAUUAAACUGAACCUAGAACAAGGAUUUCAUAAAAGAAAAUUGAUGGAUUUCAUAAAAAGAAAACUAAUUACAAAUAAAAAUGGCAAAUAGAGAUCUAAUACUCCUUCUACUUUGCAAAUAAAAUAAAGAAAAUAAAACAAAAACAAA